rnacentral:rRNA from 1 species
AACGCGAAGAACCUUACCUACCCUUGACAUGCCAGGAACUUGCCAGAGAUGGCUCGGUGCUCGAAAGAGAGCCUGGACACAGGUGCUGCAUGGCCGUCGUCAGCUCGUGUCGUGAGAUGUUGGGUUAAGUCCCGCAACGAGCGCAACCCUCGUCCCAUGUUGCCAGCGGGUAAUGCCGGGGACUCGUGGGAGACUGCCGGGGUCAACUCGGAGGAAGGUGGGGAUGACGUCAAGUCUUCAUGGCCUUUAUGGCCAGGGCUACACACGUGCUACAAUGGUAAGUACAGAGGGAAGCCAACCGGCGACGGGGAGCCAAUCCCAGAAAACUUAUCGUAGUCCGGAUCGGAGUCUGCAACUCGACUCCGU